AGGGGACUUCACAGGGAGGAAUGAGGAGUGGGAUGCAGUGAUAUCACAAGGGUCCCAUUGUGACCCCUCCACUAUCAGCUAAGGGGGGAUUGUCUGCGCCUGAACAGAGGGGGAGGGGAGUAAAUAAGGGGCUGUUGCCAGAGCCUGAGCCCACCAGAGAAAGUCUGUGUGCAGAGGGAGGGCCUCAGGUCCUGCUGCUCCUUCAUCCUGACCCCUUCACACCCUCCUCUAACAAGGACCUUGAUCUCCCUUCUCCACUCUCCUGGAUCCUGCUCAGUGUGGCAUCGGCCUUCUCUGGGGCCCUGGAGUUCCCACUGACCUUCAGCUCCCCCAGUUGCAUCUGCUGUUCCCACUGCAGGCAACAUACUUGGAGGCUGAGGCAGGAGAAUGGCUUGAACCUGGGAGGCAGAGGUUGCAGUGAUCUGAGAUCACGCCAUCGCACUCCAGCCUGGGCAACAAGAGUGAAACUCU
rnacentral:lncRNA from 1 species